GCUUAUUGAUGAGUUUAUGGGUUUUGAUGCUUUGAUGAACAAUGUAGCUUGUUUAUGUGUUGUUGGAAGUGUUGUAGAUGGGGUAUAUGAUGGUUUGAGACCCCUAGGUGUAAUGUAUGUGAAGUAUGCAUGUUGUAGAGCAAGAUUAUGCAUGAUUAGAGGUUUUGGGAGGCAAGAGGUUCGUUUGAACCAAGUUUCUGUCCUUUGGCAGAAACCAGGUUCGGCAGCCGAAGGGAGUUUCGGCCGCCGAACCCCCUUUGUGGAGGCAGCAUUCGGCUGCCGAAGUUGCCCCCGAAAAGAGACUUUCG
rnacentral:lncRNA from 1 species